rnacentral:rRNA from 1 species
CGUCUAUAUACGUAUAGCAUAUCAAUAAGCGGAGGAAAAGAAACUAACUAGGAUUCCCUCAGUAACGGCGAGUGAAGCGGGAAGAGCUCAAAUUUGAAAUCUUCAAGGUUCUACCUUGACGAAUUGUAGUUUAAAGAAGUGUUUUCUGUUGGAGUUUUGGUAAAAGUUCUUUGGAAUAGGACAUCAUAGAGGGUGAGAAUCCCGUAUUUGACCAUUAUUUCCAACUUUGUGAUACACUUUCAAAGAGUCGGAUUGUUUGGGAAUGCAGUCCAAAAUGGGUGGUAAAUUUCAUCUAAAGCUAAAUACUGGCGAGAGACCGAUAGCGAACAAGUACCGUGAGGGAAAGAUGAAAAGAACUUUGAAAAGAGAGUUAAAGCAGUACGUGAAAUUGUCAAAAGGGAAGCGUUUGACACCAGUGUUGUUUUCUCGAAAAUCAAUUAAAAAUGGCGGGAUGUUGUGUUGUAUUGACUUUAUCAGCUUUCUGCACUUUUUUCCUUAGUCUUUUUUAAUGCACUUUUCGUUUAACAAGUCAACAUCAAUUUCUUUUGUUGUAAAAGGGUCAUUGGAAGGUGGCUUUCUUUUCGGAGAAAGUGUUUAUAGCCUUUGGCCUCUGCAAUCGGAGAGAUUGAGGUCUGCAGCGUAGAUCCUUCGGGGUUAGAUGCAUUUGUGCUAAGCUAUAGCCUUUCAUAGACAACUUGUUGACUAUGAUCAGUCAUGUAGCUUACUCGCUUAUGCUAUUUUACCUACGCUUAGGAUGUUGAUCUGUAGUGCGUGCGC